GACGAACGCUGGCGGCGUGCCUAAUACAUGCAAGUAGAACGCUGAAGGAGGAGCUUGCUUCUCUGGAUGAGUUGCGAACGGGUGAGUAACGCGUAGGUAACCUGCCUGGUAGCGGGGGAUAACUAUUGGAAACGAUAGCUAAUACCGCAUAAUAGUAUAUGUUGCAUGACAUUUGCUUAAAAGUUUCAAUUGCAUCACUACCAGAUGGUCCUGCGUUGUAUUGUCUAGUUGGUGGGGUAACGGCUCACCAAGGCGACGGUACAUAGCCGACCGGAGAGGGGGAUCGGCCAAAAUGGGAAUGGGACACGGCCCAGAAUCAUACGGGAGGCAGCAGGAGGGAAUCUUCGGCAAAGGAAGGAAGGCUGAACGAGCAAAGCCGAGUGAGUGAAGAAGGUUUUCGGAUCGUAAAGCUCUGUUGUAAGAGAAGAAAGAGUGUGAGAGUGGAAAGUUCACACUGUGACGGUAUCUUACCAGAAAGGGACGGCUAACUACGUG
rnacentral:rRNA from 1 species